rnacentral:rRNA from 1 species
AUUGAACGCUGGCGGCAGGCCUAACACAUGCAAGUCGAACGAGUGGCGGACGGGUGAGUAAUGUCUGGGAAACUGCCUGAUGGAGGGGGAUAACUACUGGAAACGGUAGCUAAUACCGCAUACCAUCGGAUGUGCCCAGAUGGGAUUAGCUAGUCGGUGGGGUAAAGGCUCACCUAGGCGACGAUCCCUAGCUGGUCUGAGAGGAGGACCAGCCACACUGGAACUGAGACACGGUCCAGACUCCUACGGGAGGCAGCAUUGGGGAAUAUUGCACAAUGGGCGAAAGCCUGAGGCAGCCAUGCCGCGUGUAUGAAGAAGGCCUUCGGGUUGUAAAGUACUUUCAGCGGGGAGGCGUUACCCGAAGAAAAAGCAACGGCUAACUCCGUGCCAGCAGCCGCGGUAAUUC